GUUAAAGAAAGCUGAAAAGGCAUUAAGGAGGGGCUCUAAAAGAUCCCUAUGGUAGGUCUUUCAUUUUCCAGCAUUGAAACCAAGCAGAGCAACUGAUUCUAAAUGAAGUUAGCUGAGAACACCAAUGCCUCGUGUGGAGUUCAUUACUCUGCUCUCCGGCUCUCUAUUCAGAAGAGAGGCAACUGAGGGGAGGGAAGAGGUAUUGAAUAUGAAAGUUCAAUGAAUCUCCAAAGUGAAGAUUUCACAUGAUGAGAUUAUUUUUAUUGGAAUCAUGUUCAUGGAGAGAAACCAAGCAGAGAAAUUUGUGUGACUAGUUAAGAAAUCUUCCUUAAGUCAUUAGAGGAAAUGCAGAUCAUAUAUCACAAAGAUGAACAAGUGGGGCAAUAUUUAUUCCUGGCUAGACUGCACACACAUAUAUGUGUGUAUAUACACAUAUUUGUAUAUGUGGUAUAUAUGCAUAUGUACAUGUUUAUGUAGAAUGAUAGAAACCGAUAACUGUCUGUUUGGCUAUCUGUCUGUCUGUCUAAUAGAAAAGGAAAUGGCAAACUACUCUAGUAUCUUGGCCAAGAAAACCCCAAAUCAGUUUAUAGAGGGUCAGACACAAAUGAAAUGAUUGAACAUUCUCUCUAUUGAUCUAUCUGCCUUGACAGGUAUUUUACGUGGAAAUGUUUUUAUAUUCCCAUGUAUUUUUGUGUUUAAAACACUAGUGGUGACUUUUCCCCCCCUUUUGUUAAGCUUCAUUUUGGUUUACAUGAAUGAUCUUAUGUGUUUAUACUUUUGUGAAUUGUUUCCUACUUAUCAUAUUAGAAACUUGUCUGAAGUUCUUGCCGGAAGAAGUCUGAAGAGGGGCAGCUGGAUGACUCAGUGGAUAGAGAGCCAGAGGGAAAAUCAUCUUUCCUUGAAGAAGACGCUGAAACUUUGUGUAACUAUAAUGACCAAAUUGACCUUGGAGAGACAUGAGGAAGUGGACCUUCUCCUUGAAAACUGGAGGAUUACAGAAACAUUUUAA
rnacentral:lncRNA from 1 species